UGCCUCUAUUUUAGUAAUUGCUAUAGUAAUUGGAUCUGGUUGAACUGAAAAUGGCGUUGGGGACAUCAAUUGGUCAUUUGGGUUCUCUGGUUGUACUACAAUUGGGACUGAGAUGGACACAAUUUUUUUGCUUGUAGGAUGGUGAGAAGGAGAAGGAAGGUGCUGCAAGUGCGAGGUGAAGGGAUCGGAUGCUGCUGAAACCCUUGGUUGUGAGUGUCUCUGUAUAGGUUUCAACUGAAUACUCUACUAGUGCUGGAUGGAUUUUCAGGUUGGAUGGAUCACUGUACUGAUGUGCAACUUCCCCUAGCUUCACAUUGCAAGCCCAAUGAUUCUUGUGCCUAGGGUACCCACAUAAC
rnacentral:lncRNA from 1 species